rnacentral:rRNA from 1 species
UACAGAGGAGCCAAGCGUUGUCCGGAUUGACUGGGCGUAAAGCGCACGCAGGCGGUCGCGCGCGUGGGGUGUGAAAUCUGGCCGCUUAACGGCCAGGCGCCAUCCCAUACGGCGCGACUGGAGGCUUGCAGAGGUCGGUGGAAUUGCCGGUGUAGUGGUGAAAUGCGUAGAUAUCAGGAGGAACACCGGUGGCGAAAGCGGCUCACUGGACCGUUACUGACGCUGAGGUGCGAAAGCUAGGGGAGCAAACGGG